AGAGUUUGAUCCUGGCUCAGGACGAACGCUGGCGGCGUGCCUAACACAUGCAAGUCGAACGGGGUCCAUGCGGUCGCAAGACUGCGGAAGACCCAGUGGCGAACGGGUGCGUAACACGUGAGGAACCUGUCCCGGUCUCUGGAAUAACAGGUGGAAACACUUGCUAAUACCGGAUGCCGUCGGUCCACCGCAUAAUGGACUGACGAAAGGGUUACCGGAUCGGGAGGGUCUCGCGGCCUAUCAGCUUGUUGGUGAGGUAACGGCUCACCAAGGCAUCGACGGGUAGCUGGUCUGAGAGGAUGAUCAGCCACACUGGGACUGAGACACGGCCCAGACUCCUACGGGAGGCAGCAGUGGGGAAUCUUGCACAAUGGGCGCAAGCCUGAUGCAGCAACGCCGCGUGCGGGAAGAAGGCCCUAGGGUUGUAAACCGCUUUCAGCAGGGAAGAAGAUGACGGUACCUGUAGAAGAAGGUGCGGCCAACUACGUGCCAGCCGCCGCUGUAAU
rnacentral:rRNA from 1 species